GACAGAGGGGGCAAGCGUUGCUCGGAAUUACUGGGCGUAAAGGGCGCGUAGGCGGGAUGGCAAGUCGGUCGUGAAAUCCCUCGGCUCAACCGAGGAACGUCGAUCGAUACUGCUGUUCUUGAGGAUUGCAGAGGAGACUGGAAUUCCCGGUGUAGCGGUGAAAUGUGUAGAGAUCGGGAGGAACACCGGUGGCGAAGGCGGGUCUCUGGGCAGUAGCUGACGCUGAUGCGCGACAGCGUGGGGAGCAAACAGG
rnacentral:rRNA from 1 species